GUCAAAAAGUAGACAUUUGCAUUAACGGUUGACACGUUUGAAACUUGUAUUAAAAUCAUCCUUUUGUGAGCACACCAAAUCAUGCGGCAUGAACCUGAUGUUUCCGGGAGCCGGUGGAAGCGGAAGUGGCGGCUGCACAGGCCCGUUCUGUAUGGGCGCUUGAAACGGCGGCAGUGGAGGAACCGGAAGUGGCGGUGGGAUGAUGGGCGGCCCCGGGGGAGUGGGAGCUUUCAGCCCAUUUGGACUAGCGGCCGAAAGUGGAAGGUGUUCAGGAAGUGGCUGCACGGGGCCGUUCUACAUUAUGGCAGGG